rnacentral:rRNA from 1 species
GACGAACGCUGGCGGCGUGCUUAACACAUGCAAGUCGAACGGAAAGGCCCUGCUUUUGUGGGGUGCUCGAGUGGCGAACGGGUGAGUAACACGUGAGUAACCUGCCCUUGACUUUGGGAUAACUUCAGGAAACUGGGGCUAAUACCGGAUAGGAGCUCCUGCUGCAUGGUGGGGGUUGGAAAGUUUCGGCGGUUGGGGAUGGACUCGCGGCUUAUCAGCUUGUUGGUGGGGUAGUGGCUUACCAAGGCUUUGACGGGUAGCCGGCCUGAGAGGGUGACCGGCCACAUUGGGACUGAGAUACGGCCCAGACUCCUACGGGAGGCAGCAGUGGGGAAUAUUGCACAAUGGGCGGAAGCCUGAUGCAGCAACGCCGCGUGCGGGAUGAAGGCCUUCGGGUUGUAAACCGCUUUCGCCUGUGACGAAGCGUGAGUGACGGUAAUGGGUACAGAAGCACCGGCUAACUACGUG